rnacentral:rRNA from 1 species
UACGUAGGGACCAAGCGUUGUUCGGAUUUACUGGGCGUAAAGGGCGCGUAGGCGGCAUGACAAGUCACUUGUGAAAUCUCUGGGCUUAACCCAGAACGGCCAAGUGAUACUGUCGCGCUAGAGUGCGGAAGGGGCAAUCGGAAUUCUCGGUGUAGCGGUGAAAUGCGUAGAUAUCAAGAGGAACACCUGAGGUGAAGACGGGUUGCUGGGCUGACACUGACGCUGAUGCGCGAAAGCCAGGGGAGCGAACGGG